GCAAUGCCCAGAAAAGGGCAAGACUUGAGGUUGGAGAGCCAAGGUCAGGAAGAUCUCCCAAGUCACUCUAGGUAGUUGGAGCUUCAUCCCUGAGAGCAGUGGAGAGCCACGGAAGGGUUUUGAGCAGGUUAGAUGAGUACUGUGUGUUUUAGGAGAAUCCCUCGGGCUGCCUCUGCGUGGAAGUGGAUUUGAACCAGGUUGGAGGCGGUUGCUGCGAUUUUUCCUCCACUUACAGGUAGCGUAGGCUAAGGGAGGACCCUUGGUGAGCCGGGCAAGGAUGGAUGUCAGCCCUCUUGGUAGCUCAGUGCAGUGAACCAGCACCUCUGGAUAGGACCCAGAAUAUAGGGUAGGGGAGACUAUGAAGACUAAAAAUAUUCAAGGAAUAUUUAGGAGAUGGAGUCUAUCAGCCUUAGGGAGUAAGGACAGCAAAAGGGAGGCAUCCAGGAUGACACUGGGAUUCUGGUUUAGGUGACUAAGAGAAGGAUGUCACCACAUCUGACACAUAAAAUGCAAGAGGAAGACAAGAACGAAGUUGGAUUUCUACCCAAAUCUGUGUCUCUUGAUUUGAAAUUCCUAAAAAUAUCCAACACACCCAAAUAAAACUUUUGUUUGCCUCGCA